rnacentral:rRNA from 1 species
CCUACGGGCGGCAGCAGUGGGGAAUAUUGCACAAUGGGGGAAACCCUGAUGCAGCGACGCCGCGUGAGUGAAGAAGUAUUUCGGUAUGUAAAGCUCUAUCAGCAGGAACGAGACAAGACGGUACUUGACUAGGAAGCCCCGUCAAAAUACGUGCCAGCAGCCGCGGGAAUACGAUGGGGUCAAGGGUUAUCCGGAAUCACGGGGUGAAAAGGGAGGGUAGACGGCAGAGCAAGCCUGAAGUGAAAGGCCGGGGCCCAACCCUCGGACUGCUUUGGAAACUGUACGGCUGGAGUGCAGGAGAGGUAAGUGGAAUUCCUAGUGUAGCGGUGAAAUGCGUAGAUAUUAGGAGGAACACCAGUGGCGAAGGCGGCUUACUGGACUGUAACUGACGUUGAGGCUCGAAAGCGUGGGGAGCAAACAGGAUUAGAUACCCGUGUAGUC